rnacentral:rRNA from 1 species
UGGGGAAUAUUGGACAAUGGGCGCAAGCCUGAUCCAGCCAUGCCGCGUGGGUGAAGAAGGCCUUCGGGUUGUAAAGCCCUUUUGUUGGGAAAGAAAUCCUGUCGGCUAAUACCCGGCGGGGAUGACGGUACCCAAAGAAUAAGCACCGGCUAACUUCGUGCCAGCAGCCGCGGUAAUACGAAGGGUGCAAGCGUUACUCGGAAUUACUGGGCGUAAAGCGUGCGUAGGCGGUUCGUUAAGUCUGUCGUGAAAGCCCUGGGCUCAACCUGGGAAUUGCGAUGGAUACUGGCGAGCUAGAGUACGGUAGAGGAUGGUGGAAUUCCCGGUGUAGCGGUGAAAUGCGUAGAGAUCGGGAGGAACACCCGUGGCGAAGGCGGCCAUCUGGACCAGUACUGACGCUGAGGCACGAAAGCGUGGGGAGCAAACAGGAUUA